UUGAACGCUGGCGGAAUGCUUUACACAUGCAAGUCGAGCGGCAGCGCGGGGCAACCUGGCGGCGAGCGGCGAACGGGUGAGUAAUGCAUCGGAACGUACCCAGUCGUGGGGGAUAACGAAUCGAAAGAUUCGCUAAUACCGCAUACGUCCUGAGGGAGAAAGCGGGGGAUCGCAAGACCUCGCGCGAUUGGAGCGGCCGAUGUCGGAUUAGCUAGUUGGUAGGGUAAAGGCCUACCAAGGCGACGAUCCGUAGCUGGUCUGAGAGGAUGAUCAGCCACACUGGGACUGAGACACGGCCCAGACUCCUACGGGAGGCAGCAGUGGGGAAUUUUGGACAAUGGGGGAAACCCUGAUCCAGCCAUUCCGCGUGAGUGAAGAAGGCCUUCGGGUUGUAAAGCUCUUUCGGCAGGGAAGAAACGGCUCAAGCUAAUAUCUUGGGUUAAUGACGGUACCUGAAGAAGAAGCACCGGCUAACUACGU
rnacentral:rRNA from 1 species